AUUGAACGCUGGCGGCAGGCUUAACACAUGCAAGUCGAACGAUGAAACUCUAGCUUGCUAGAGAAGAUUAGUGGCGGACGGGUGAGUAACAUUUAGGAAUCUGCCUAGUAGUGGGGGAUAGCUCGGGGAAACUCGAAUUAAUACCGCAUACGACCUACGGGUGAAAGGGGGCGCAAGCUCUUGCUAUUAGAUGAGCCUAAAUCAGAUUAGCUAGUUGGUGGGGUAAAGGCCUACCAAGGCGACGAUCUGUAACUGGUCUGAGAGGAUGAUCAGUCACACCGGAACUGAGACACGGUCCGGACUCCUACGGGAGGCAGCAGUGGGGAAUAUUGGACAAUGGGGGCAACCCUGAUCCAGCCAUGCCGCGUGUGUGAGGAAGGCCUUUUGGUUGUAAAGCACUUUAAGCAGGGAGGAGAGGCUAAUGGUUAAUACCCAUUAGAUUAGACGUUACCUGCAGAAUAAGCACCGGCUAACUCUGUGCCAGCAGCCGCGGUAAUACAGAGGGUGCGAGCGUUAAUCGGAAUUACUGGGCGUAAAGCGAGUGUAGGUGGCUCAUUAAGUCACAUGUGAAAUCCCCGGGCUUAACCUGGGAACUGCAUGUGAUACUGGUGGUGCUAGAAUAUGUGAGAGGGAAGUAGAAUUCCAGGUGUAGCGGUGAAAUGCGUAGAGAUCUGGAGGAAUACCGAUGGCGAAGGCAGCUUCCUGGCAUAAUAUUGACACUGAGAUUCGAAAGCGUGGGUAGCAAACAGGAUUAGAUACCCUGGUAGUCCACGCCGUAAACGAUGUCUACUAGCCGUUGGGGUCCUUGAGACUUUAGUGGCGCAGUUAACGCGAUAAGUAGACCGCCUGGGGAGUACGGCCGCAAGGUUAAAACUCAAAUGAAUUGACGGGGGCCCGCACAAGCGGUGGAGCAUGUGGUUUAAUUCGAUGCAACGCGAAGAACCUUACCUGGUCUUGACAUAGUGAGAAUCCUGCAGAGAUGCGGGAGUGCCUUCGGGAACUCACAUACAGGUGCUGCAUGGCUGUCGUCAGCUCGUGUCGUGAGAUGUUGGGUUAAGUCCCGCAACGAGCGCAACCCUUUUCCUUAUUUGCCAGCGGGUUAAGCCGGGAACUUUAAGGAUACUGCCAGUGACAAACUGGAGGAAGGCGGGGACGACGUCAAGUCAUCAUGGCCCUUACGACCAGGGCUACACACGUGCUACAAUGGUAGGUACAGAGGGUUGCUACACAGCGAUGUGAUGCUAAUCUCAAAAAGCCUAUCGUAGUCCGGAUUGGAGUCUGCAACUCGACUCCAUGAAGUCGGAAUCGCUAGUAAUCGCAGAUCAGAAUGCUGCGGUGAAUACGUUCCCGGGCCU
rnacentral:rRNA from 1 species